UACGGAGGGUGCUAGCGUUGUUCGGAAUCACUGGGCGUAAAGGGCGUGUAGGCGGUCUGUUAAGUCUGAUGUGAAAUCCCCUCGCUCAACGAGGGAACUGCGUCGGAUACUGGCAAACUCGAGUACCGGAGAGGAAGGUGGAAUUCCCGGUGUAGCGGUGAAAUGCGCAGAUAUCAGGAAGAACACCAAUGGCGAAAGCAGCUCUCUGGGACGGUACUGACGCUGAGACGCGAAAGCGUGGGGAGCGAACAGG
rnacentral:rRNA from 1 species